CAGAGACUGCAAGCGUUAUUCGGAUUCACUGGGCGUAAAGGGUGCGCAGGCGGCCAAGUGUGUUAGGCGUGAAAGCCUGGGGCUUAACCCCAGAAUUGCACCUAAAACUACAUGGCUAGAGCAUUGGAGAGGGUAGCGGAAUUCACGGUGUAGCAGUGAAAUGCGUAGAUAUCGUGAGGAACACCAGAGGCGAAGGCGGCUACCUGGACAAUUGCUGACGCUCAGGCACGAAAGCGUGGGGAGCAAAAGGGAUUAGAUACCCCUGUAGUCCACGCCCUAAACGGUGCACACUAGGUCUUGGCGGAUUCGACCCCACCAGGGCCCAAGCUAACGCGUUAAGUGUGCCGCCUGAGGACUACGGUCGCAAGACUA
rnacentral:rRNA from 1 species